UAAUAAAGCCAGAAGAAAAUUUCUCCUGAAGAUUCUCACAGAAGAUACUGCUUUGUAAAGAACAUGCAGUCUACACUAACUAUAGCUGAAUACAGAGGUUUUAAGGUUGUUUGCUAAUAUCCCUAAAUAUAGGCUGAUGAAAACCACCAGAGUAAAACUGGUAAAAAUAAUACUGACACAAACGGCAGCAGCAUGAUGUGAUCCUGGCAUGCAGUUCUCUGCUGAUCUGACUGACUAGGAUAUUUAUAGGAAUCACAAAUGCAGAUGACUACAGGGGCCAGGUGAGAAGAAACAUCAGAAGCACUUGAAGGACCAGAAGGUGGGUGUUCUAGGGAUGGGGAGGCAAUCUGCAAAAUGGCUUUUUAGAAAAUUUCCUCCAGAGUUAUCUGUCUCAUUAACAAUGGUUUUUUGUCUUAGAAUUUUCUCUUUCAUUUUAUAAACUGACGCACCUUUUCUUUGGUGUUAAUGACAUCAUCUUCAUCGUCACUAUUAUUGUGAUCAUCUUGAUCCAGAACAAUUUCAGCUAUUUCACCAUUGGUCAAUGAAUGAACAACUGGAGGCUCAUUAUCAAUGUUAAAAGCUUCUUUGAUAUCUACUUCUUCCAGCUUACUGAUGCAUAUAUAUUAUUAUUUUGCAUAUAUAAGGUCAGACAUUCAUGUUUUCCUCACUUGACAUAUGAAAUCCUUCAAAGUCACUACUUAGUUCAUCAUCAUCAUCACUGCACAUAGUCACAGGUUAGAGGUUGCAGGCAUGCAAAACUGUAUCUUUAGUCAUUGUCUUCCAAGCAUUGGCAACAGCAUGUAUGGCAUCUUUCAUGCUAAACUCUUUUUGCAAACCUUCCACACCCACACCUCUUGUCACUGCUGCUAGCAUGCUGUUCAGGAAAGUGUUUUUAUAUUUACUCUUCAUUGAUCUAAGGAUACCCUGGCCACAUGGUUGAAUUAAUAAAGUCACAUUUUGGGGAAAGUAGAUGGCAUAAACAUUUUUGAUGAGAAUUUCAGCAGGAGGGUGAAUAGAACAGUUGUCACGUGUAACAAAAUCUUGCAGUCAUCCUCCAGUUUAGCUUCCCUGCAGUGAGCAUGAACUUCUGGUACAAAACAUUGGAGCACCAAUCAGAAAAUAUGUCCCUGGUGAUCUGUGCACUUUUGUUAGCAUAAUAAUAGUCUGGUAAGAAAUCCACUCCCUUAAAAUAGUGAAGACAUAAGCUUUUGCCUGUCACAGCAAGUUUACAAUGUGUUUGUGUGCUGCAUUAGCAUAUCCCAGUACAGUUAUUCUGUCCUUGGCAUCCUUAAUUCCUAUAGGGGCUUUCUCAUCAGCUGUAGUCAGUGUCUUCCUGGGGCAGUAACACAAAACAGUGAUGUUUUAUAAGCAUUAUAGACUUGUUCUGGUGUCAGAUUUUCAUCAGUGAUAACUUGGGCACGCUCAUCAAUCAUUGCUGCUUUAUGAUCAGCAGAUGCUUUAUCACCUCAAAUUGUAAAAAAAAUAAUGUUGUGUCUUAAAUGUAUGCAGCCAGAUAUAUUGAAUAUUCACAGUUCCCUUCAAUUUCCAGUUCAUCAUAAGUCUUUGCUCAUUUCAUUAUCAGCAUGACAUUAAGUGGCAAGUGUUCACUGCAUCGCUGACCGAUCCAAUUUUUCAAUACAUGAUCAAGACCAUUAUUUUUAGUUUUAUGCAGUGUUUUUCUGUUUUUACUAAUUUUUAUUCAUUAUUUUUAGCAUAGAACUCCAACUGUUUAUCCUUCUAUUGUUUCAGGUCAUAUAUGGUGGUCAUUCUGACACCAUACUCUUCUAUUAAGAUGUUUCACAUUCGCACCACUGUCCAGUUUCUCCAACAGCUUGACUUUCUGUGCUAUCCUAUAAACAUAAAUGCUUCCUCUUUUGUUGGUAUCUGCAGGCCUUUUGAACAUUUUUUCAGCAACAUCUUUACACCACAGGGUAGAAAAUAAACAAGAAAACACAAGGAGCAAUGCAUGUAGGUCUUUACUACAUGUAGGGCAUUUUGGGGAACCGGCUGUUGGCACAUCCAGUCUGCACAUGUGCUAUUUUAUUACGUUUUAUGGGUGUGCUUUCAUGGAGGAAUUUGGUCAUGCACAGAAAAUAUAUAUUGCAGCUGAACUGGGGUGGAAGGGUCUUUUUUCCCUUGGAGACAUUGAAU
rnacentral:lncRNA from 10 species